rnacentral:rRNA from 1 species
GAUGAACGCUGGCGGCGUGCCUAACACAUGCAAGUCGAGCGAUUUACUUCGGUAAAGAGCGGCGGACGGGUGAGUAACGCGUGGGUAACCUGCCCUGUACACACGGAUAACAUACCGAAAGGUAUGCUAAUACGAGAUAAUAUACUUUUAUCUCAUGGUAGAAGUAUCAAAGCUCUGGCGGUACAGGAUGGACCCGCGUCUGAUUAGCUAGUUGGUAAGGUAACGGCUUACCAAGGCGACGAUCAGUAGCCGACCUGAGAGGGUGAUCGGCCACAUUGGAACUGAGACACGGUCCAAGCUCCUACGGGAGGCCGCAGUGGGGAAUAUUGCACAAUGGGCGAAAGCCUGAUGCAGCAACGCCGCGUGAGCGAUGAAGGCCUUCGGGUCGUAAAGCUCUGUCCUCAAGGAAGAUAAUGACGGUACUUGAGGAGGAAGCCCCGGCUAACUACGUGCCAGCCGCCGCAGUAA